GUGGUGCCUUCGGUACUUGCUUAUUCCCUCACUUAACACAAGUGACUACCCAAGUCCUUCCCAUGUUUAAUUUAACAGCAAAACUUCCACUGGCUUCAAAGCUGCAGAAGCACAGCUUUCUUCUGCAUGGACGAGAGGAAGGCAGGAAGCAACCAGCUCGCAAAUCAGGCACCGGGUACCCAGAAAGGGCACCGUGAGGCUGUUAACCUUUGAGAAGCAGAGCACUCUCCCCUUUCCCAUGAGGACCUUUCUGAAGAUCAGACUAUGUUCAUUUGUUUUACCGUUUCCUUCCUAACUGAUUAAAAUCAAAUACUUUCUAGUCUAUGUAAGGCGGUUUUCAAUCACUGCCAUUUAAGUUUUGCUGUUCAAUAAAGAACCUUCAGCAUUUUUGAUGAUUUCCUGGCUAUCAGCACUGAAACUAAAAAUGAAUGCAGUGAAUAUACCGACUGGUGAAUAUACUGAAUAUACUGAUGUUUUGAUCUAUCUGGAUACAUGUAUGAGACACAGAGGCACAUUGGCAGGAAGCAUGGGUGGAAAUAAGCUAUUAAGAUGUCUCAGAGCGUUCAUUUUUCAUUUGUAAUCUAUCAUCCAAGAUACAUUUGCUUUGGAAUUGCCAGGUACCGUGCUGCAUUAUGUAAUUGAAAGCACUGAAGAUAAGGAAUGAAGGCCAUUGAAAACAUAUGCUUUGGAUAAAAGCAGCUAUAAAAAUAAAUGUAAUGACCAUACCAGGGACGAGACAAGCAUGGAUAGUAACAAAUUGGGAAUGACCAGAAAGUUCUUGAAUGGUCAAACUACAGGAAACUGUGCAGUCAGCCUUUUUUUUUUUUCUUUUUCACACUGAUCGUUUUAUUUUUAUUGUGUGUUAACAUAAUAAAUUUCCCACUUCUAUGCUACGUACUGUCUGUUUUCUUUCUAUUAGAUUGCUGGAAUUACUCCUUUCAACCUGAGCACUGAGCCGGUUUAAGGAUGCUCCUAUUAAAAGGAACUGAUGGUGAAGUCAGAUGUUUCUCUGAUGCAACUUCAAUUUCCUGUAUAAAAUGUACAAAGUUCCAUUCUUCUGAACACAAGGGAAGUCAGACAGGAGACUGCAUCUAUACUGGCGGCUCCAAGCCCUUUUAGAGUCAGUACUUUGCUCUCACCUUUCCUCAGCAUUGCGUGUCUUUGAGUUUUAAGUUUUGGGGUCUUAUCCUGCAUCUUCUUCUGUGUUAGCUCAGUGCCACUCUUGUAGCUCCAGAGACCUUCCUUGUGUUGGGCCCAUGCUUCUUUUGAGCAUGAAACUCCGGGUCCGGUCACUCAGGCUGCUGCAAGCCUUUUGUUGCCUGCCAGGCCCAGCUGUUCUCCCAGUUUCUCCCAGUUCCACCCUCAGGCACACCACUGCAUGUGGUAUGCUUGGUAUCAUGAAGGCAAAGCAAAACUGUUGGUGGAGCAAAAAGUUCUGUGGAUUUAAAUAAAUCAGUAAAAUAAUUUAAAUUAAACAGACAUCCAUUCUGAAUGAGCUGUUCCUAUUUAAUCUUUCAAAGGCAGAGUUCUUCGUGAGGACAGAUGUCUAAUUCAGGGCACAAGAUUAUAGAAGAAUGAAUUCAACUCGGAGGACGUUUAAAAUCAACAGUGUCUACAAGACAAAGGAUAAGGAGCUUAGACCUUCUGCAGUUCUUCACUCAGCUUAAUGUUUUACCAGCGAUUCUAACUUGGACGUAUUGGCAUUCUGUUUUCCUCUGCUCCUUUGCUUUGUUUAUUGUCUUUGUCUAAACAUCGCAAUGCAUACAAGCCUAAAACCACAGCUUAAGUUCAGAAGUAUAGAUCUAUGCCCAGAGAGAAAUUGGAAUAUAAUAUUAAUUUAACUACAAAGGGAAGUGUUCAAAGUACUUCUUAUGUCCUGUGCCGCAAAGAUUAGAUAAAAGUGUCCUAAGGUUUUUCCUGCGACAGUAUCACACUUGGGCACUCUGAACCAAAAAGAGACUCACAAUAGCAGAGUGCCUAAUUAUUAUAUUUGUCAGCUUGAACGUACCAGAAUAAUUCCAGGACAAAUUUGUCUCCAGUUAUAAUUCCAUUUAUUCUAGUCAGGUCUAUUUACUGCCCAGAGGUCUGCCAGUUACUGAAAAGGCUAGAAUUAAGUCCACCCUAAACCUGCCUUUAAAUUCUGUAUUGUCACAUCCCAGUGCCUGGAUGGGUGAAGGAGCUGUGGUGCUGGAAGCAGGAUAACGUUAGUACAACAUUAGUAUAACGUGCGUGAGCCUGGGCAGGGCUGCGCAGCAGUGGUUUGUGCCAUGAUGAGGAGCCAGACCAGGCCGCGGGGAUUCACCGGAGGGUCGGGCGGCCAGGGACCACCUAGGGCUGGGACAGAGCCUGGUCAAGGGCUAGAAGGGUGGUGUUGGAGAGACAUUUCAGCUCUACAUCACUGUGUAAUGCCUCGGUGGCCCAGAAGAUGGAUUGACAUGCCUUCCUUGUGACUGUGACGCAGUGCUCAGUUACUUUCAGGUGUGCAACCACAAACAUGGCUGAAAAGCCUCGGCCGACUUGCUGAAGCCCGUUCCCAAUAGUCUGAGGACAGCUACCGACACGCAAAUGGAAGCAAAUAAGGAGGCAACAUGGUGCUAAACAAGUGAGAGUAUCAUGACAACACAGAGUCACUACCAACAUUCCAUCCCGCUGUGGACUCCUAUAAAUAUAUCAGCUCUGAUAGGUGAUGUACGUAUUUAAUGCUAACGUUGUCCAUGUUUUCCUAGUGGUUGAGUGAUCCCUCUGCUAACUGCUCUUGGAAAACCACAGAAGAGCAAGUGGGGACUGGUAGGGAAGGAUAAUCUCUUCCGUCCUUUCUUUUAUGUCAGCACUUUCCCUCAUUUCCAUGUCCCUUUAUGUUUAUUUAUGUUUAGGUGCAAAUUAGAAGGAAGUAAACUUGAUUUUCUGUUGGAAUAUUGUGAGCUUUUGUGCACAUCUGCUCUAAAUGGUGUCCUACAAGUUGGGGAAGAUGCUUCCCUAAAGCCUUUCAGCUUCCCCCGUGGAAAACAGCCAUUUCACCCGGCUGGGAAAUAUUCACCACUCACUGCUGCCACCUACCCCUGCCACAACAGCAGGAAUACAACUGCUGCUUCUGACUGGGCUCCCUUCCUGUAGCAGAUAGCAGCAGCAGCCAAAUACUUUCUCUCUCCCUCCUCGUAUCAACCUUCACCAGUAGCAGGACAGUUUAUUUAUCAGUUUCUUCCAUCAGGAGGGGAAAGCUGCUUGUGAACAUGCUGUCUGAGGUUAGGCAUUACUGCCAUAAGAUAAGCAACCAUCAAACCUGGAUCACUGAAGAAUUUAUUGGAAAGAUCUGAAUAAUCUUUCCAGUGUGCAGUAUUUUAGUCACCACACUAAAGAAACUGUUCCUAAUUAUAGCAUCUUACCUCACUCUUGAUUACCCAUUCAAUCGCUGCUCACUCUUAAUACUUCCAGUAAGCACGCUGGUUCUAGUCCUUCAUGAAACAUGCAUCAAAUUAUUUCCUGUAAGCCAAGGUAAUUGCCAAAGGCCAACUAUUCCCAGUUCCUGAUGACCUAAUUUGAUUUAAGUAACCAUAUUUUGGACUGGUGAAUUCUAAUUGCAUUCCAGCUAAUCUAGACAAAGUAUUCCCCACAACUGAAUAACGAAUAGCCUUUUCUAUUGCUUUUUGGAAAUCAUUAAGUAUGAAGUAGAAAACAGCAAUUGAUUAGGUACGUAUUGAAGAAAUGCAGAGCAGAAUAUAUGCUGCUGCAUGCAUAAUGAGCAUGCCAUUCAACACACGAAGGAAAAGUCCCUUCUUCCUCCAGUUCAAAGCAAUGUGCUAACAGCUUCCUGCUUGACUCCAUGAACAGUAGGGGCUUACAUAACUUGGACUGCUUAGGAAGAGCACAGAUAAAUCAAAGUCAGUCCUGAAGAGUAAAUAGCUGGCCAAGAAAGCAGCUGGCCAAGAACAGCGGCGUGUGAUUAAGGGUGCAAAGUUCACGAGGUUUUCAGUGACCUCCGAAGGGCUUGAGGUUUGCAGGAAUUUUUCCUUGCAUUGUGAAUGGCUUAAUCUUUUCAAUUAUUGCACGAUUAAUGCCAUGUUGUACGGAAGGCUAAUAGAUUACAACACUAAUAGAUUACAACAGGUAAGCAUGAAUAACACUAAAUGUGUUCAUUAGUGGAGAGCAGGGUAAUGGCAAAGACUCCCUAAGUUUCACAAAGUCAGAAACUACCAUUGGCAAAGUGAUUUGGGUUCAUUUUGCAGUUAGAAACGAUACCAACAUUGAAAGUUAACGAGCAUUUGCUAUGCUACGUGAGUCCACAUGCGCCUUACAUCUGUUU